UACGUAGGAGACGAGCGUUGUCCGGAAUUACUGGGCGUAAAGCGCGUGUAGGCGGACUGGUGUGUCGGAUGUGAAAUCCCCAGGCUCAACCUGGGAACUGCAUUCGAAACUGCCAGCCUUGAGUGGUGGAGAGGGAAGUGGAAUUCCUGGUGUAGCGGUGAAAUGCGCAGAUAUCAGGAGGAACACCGAUGGCGAAGGCAGGUCUCUGGGCCAUAACUGACGCUGAGAAGCGAAAGCAUGGGGAGCGAACAGG
rnacentral:rRNA from 1 species